rnacentral:rRNA from 1 species
UACGAAGGGGGCUAGCGUUGCUCGGAAUUACUGGGCGUAAAGGGCUCGUAGGCGGCCAACUAAGUCAGACGUGAAAUCCCUCGGCUUAACCGGGGAACUGCAUCUGAUACUGGAUGGCUCGAGUUUGGGAGAGGGAUGCGGAAUUCCAGGUGUAGCGGUGAAAUGCGUAGAGAUCUGGAGGAAUACCGGUGGCGAAGGCGGCCCCCUGGACAAAGACUGACGCUCAGGUGCGAAAGCGUGGGGAGCAAACAGG